CUUCUUAGGUGGCUCCAUCUUAGCCCUAGUCACGGCUAGCUGUGAAAGGUCCGUGAGCCGCUUGACUGCAG
rfam:Hepacivirus C strain SL8 polyprotein (POLY) gene, complete cds